rfam:Triticum aestivum genome assembly, contig: Triticum_aestivum_CS42_TGACv1_scaffold_640698_T_3B-0.141173_7BL-0.090597
UUUAUACUCUUUCCGUCCGAAAAUACUUGUCGAAAAAAUGCAUAAAAAUAAAUGUAUCUAGAACUAAAAUACAUCUAGAUACAUCCAUUCCUCCGACGAGUAUUUCCGGACGAAGGGAGUACUAA